GGCCGGUUAGCUCAGUUGGUCAUAGCGUGGUGCUAAUAACGCCAAGGUCAUGGAUUCAAUCCCUGUACCAGCCA